AGAGUUUGAUCAUGGCUCAGAACGAACGCUGGCGGCAGGCUUAACACAUGCAAGUCGAACGCGUGUAGCAAUACACGAGUGGCGCACGGGUGAGUAACGCGUGGAUAUCUGCCUUUUGGUUCGGAAUAACCCCGGGAAACUGGGGCUAAUACCGGAUGGUUCCUACGGGAUAAAGAUUUAUCGCCAAAAGAUGAGUCCGCGUACGAUUAGCUAGUUGGUGAGGUAAUGGCUCACCAAGGCGACGAUCGUUAGCUGGUCUGAGAGGACGAUCAGCCACACUGGGACUGAGACACGGCCCAGACUCCUACGGGAGGCAGCAGUGGGGAAUAUUGGACAAUGGGGGCAACCCUGAUCCAGCCAUGCCGCGUGAGUGAUGAAGGCCUUCGGGUUGUAAAGCUCUUUUGGCGGGGACGAUGAUGACGGUACCCGCAGAAUAAGCCCCGGCUAACUUCGUGCCAGCAGCCGCGGUAAGACGAAGGGGGCUAGCGUUGUUCGGAAUUACUGGGCGUAAAGCGCGUGUAGGCGGUUAUCCAAGUCGGGUGUGAAAGCCUUGAGCUCAACUCAAGAAAUGCAUUCGGUACUGGGUGACUAGAGGACCGGAGAGGAUAGUGGAAUUCCCAGUGUAGUGGUGAAAUACGUAGAGAUUGGGAAGAACACCAGUGGCGAAGGCGGCUAUCUGGACGGUUUCUGACGCUAAGACGCGAAAGCGUGGGGAGCAAACAGGAUUAGAUACCCUAGUAGUCC
rnacentral:rRNA from 1 species